GGAAGAGGCUCCUCCCCUCCUUCGAUAGCCAAUUAGUUAGUAGAUGAACGGAAGAGGCUCCUCCCUCCUUCGAUAGCCAAUUAGUUAGUAGAUGAACGGAAGAGGCUCCUCCCCUCCUCGAUAGCCACCUUUCAUGGAGGAUGGUCAUGUGGAUCCUACCUGAGUCCUUCACGGAAAGACUCUUGAAAUGUAAAAAAAAAUUUUUUUAAAUUAAUCACGUUACACAUUUAUUGGGGAUUCCACCCUGUCAACAUAAUUUGCCUGAUGAUGCGUAAGUGGAGAGGAGUCUUAAUUUUAUACAGGUAGCAUUUUCACCCACGUUCCCUUCUCACCCACGUUCCCUUCUCAACCACCCACGUUCCCUUCUCACCCACCCACGUUCCCUUCUCACCCACGUUCCCUUCUCAACCACGUUCCCUUCUCACCCACCCACGUUCCCUUCUCACCCACCCACGUUCCCUUCUCACCCACCCACGUUCCCUUCUUCUCCCCCGACAGCCUUUUUCCUUCUGUGAGGUUUUCCUGGUCAGGUCACAUGGUCAGGUCAUGAGGUCAGGGAAAACCUCUCGGUCUGGUAAUAUGAAAAGGUUGUCAUGCUGUUCUUUGGCCAGGACAGAAGCAUAGGAUGUAUCCCAAAUGGCACCCUAGUCACUAUGGCACCCUGGUCGAAAGUAGUGCACUACCUAGGGAAUAGGGUGCCAGUAGAGUCCUAAUAGUGAUCUGUUGGUUGUAGACUGUAGAGGGAAGAGGUGUUUUGGUUCUUGGGCAGCACGUCAUAACAUGGACCCCACUACCUUCGACAUGUAGAGAAGACGAGCUUUCAACAAAACCUUUUUGUCGUUCAUUUGAACACGUUUUGACAUUGUAAUGUGUUUUAUUACGACACCAGCCUUUGAUGUUGACCUUUACAAUAGUCGGACAUGAGGAAGGCCUCAAAUUACACCCUAUUCUUCAAAAUAGUGCAGUACUUUUUAAAAUAAGUGCCCUAAUAAUGGGGGAAUAAGGGUGUAAUUUGGAAACAGAUAUUAUAUUUUUUUUCCUUCUCAAAUGAUUUCUCUAGAUAGGAUUAAUGUUGUUAUUAUUAUGAUGGACUGUUUACAACAACAACAAAAAAAAAAGUUGGCAAAGAAUGAUGGGAGAUGGAGUUUUGUGAUCAUGUCAGGAGAAGGGCCCUGUUUGGAGGAUGUCCCUGAUGUUGCCUGAGUUGAGGUUGUUAAUGUGUGUCCCAAAUGGCACCCUAUUCCUUAUAUAGAGCACUGCUUUUGAACAGAGCAGUGCUCUUGAUAGGAAAUAGGUGGCCAUUUUGGACUAAGGGAAGAGAAAUGAUGGUGAACACAACAUGUAAACACUAUGGCUGUGUGUCCUAAAAGAGCACUUUUUAUUACCCUAUGUAGUGCAUAUGCCAUUGGGCCCUGGUCAAAAGUAGUGCACUACAUAGGGUGCGAUUUGGGAUGCAUUCCUAUUUUCCUUUGGUUGUAAGCUGCUGCUGGGUCAUUUUAAACAAGGAGUGUGUGAUCGAACGAGAGUGUGUUCUUAAUUAUUAUUUUUUAAACAAGCCGGAACAUGUUGUUAAAUUAUAAUGAUUGAUUGUACAGUUUUAGGCUAGGGUAUGAAAAGCAGAGACUUUUUUCACAAUAAAAACUGUUCUUUAACGUUGUCAAAUUGUUAUGGUGUCAUCUGUGAUUUAAAAAAAAUAAAAUAAAAUAUUGAACCUUUUAUUUAACUUGGCAAGUCAGUUAAGAACAAAUUUCUUAUUUACUAUGACGGCCAAACUCUAACCCAGACGACGCUGGGCCAAUUGUGCGCCGCCCUGUGGGACUCCCAAUCACAGCCGGU
ensembl:lncRNA